rnacentral:tRNA from 1 species
GGAGGUGUGUGGGCGCCUGGUGGCCCCCGCGGUCUUCAACACCGACGUGGCCGAGCACCUCGUCAGGCGGGUUCGAUUCCCGUCCGCCUCC